rnacentral:rRNA from 1 species
AUUGAACGCUGGCGGCAGGCCUAACACAUGCAAGUCGAACGAGUGGCGGACGGGUGAGUAAUGUCUGGGAAACUGCCCGAUGGAGGGGGAUAACUACUGGAAACGGUAGCUAAUACCGCAUACCAUCGGAUGUGCCCAGAUGGGAUUAGCUAGUAGGUGGGGUAACGGCUCACCAAGGCGACGAUCCCUAGCUGGUCUGAGAGGAUGACCAGCCACACUGGGACUGAGACACGGUCCAGACUCCGACGGGAGGCAGCAGUGGGGAAUAUUGCGCAAUGGGCGCAAGCCUGAUGCAGCCAUGCCGCGUGUAUGAAGAAGGCCUUCGGGUUGUAAAGUUCUUUCGGCGGGGAGGCGUUACCCGCAGAAGAAGCACCGGCUAACUCCGUGCCAGCAGCCGCGGUAAUUC